UACGGAGGAUGCAAGCGUUAUCCGGAUUCAUUGGGUUUAAAGGGUGCGUAGGCGGAAGAAUAAGUCAGUGGUGAAAGCCUGCGGCUUAACCGUAGAAUUGCCAUUGAUACUGUUUUUCUUGAGUAUAGUUGAAGUGGGCGGAAUGUGUAAUGUAGCGGUGAAAUGCUUAGAUAUUACACAGAACACCAAUUGCGAAGGCAGCUCACUAAGCUGUUACUGACGCUGAGGCACGAAAGCGUGGGGAGCAAACAGG
rnacentral:rRNA from 1 species